rnacentral:rRNA from 1 species
GCUGCAUGGCUGUCGUCAGCUCGUGUCGUGAGAUGUUCGGGUUAAGGUCCCGCAACGAGCGCAACCCCUAUCUCUAGUUGCCAGCGAUUCGGUCGGGGACGUCUAGAGAUACUGCCCCGGUUAACGGGGAGGAAGGUGGGGAUGACGUCAAGUCCUCAUGGCCCUUAUGCCCAGGGCUACACACGUGCUACAAUGGGCGGUACAAAGGGUAGCGAUGCCGCGAGGUGAAGCCAAUCCCAAAAAGCCGUCCACAGUUCGGAUUGGAGUCUGCAACUCGACUCCAUGAAGCCGGAAUCGCUAGUAAUCGUGGAUCAGCAUGCCACGGUGAAUACGUUCCCGGGCCUU